rnacentral:tRNA from 1 species
GUCUCGGUAGUGUAAUGGAUAUGAGGACGGGAUCCGCAUAGCGCAAGUACGGGUUCGAGUCCCGUCCGAGACU